ensembl:lncRNA
AGACGCCGUCGGGAAGGUUGGAGGGGAGCCAGCGCGGACUUUUUUUUCAGCAUCUGGAUGUUGAGCUGGUUGCAGAUCAAGCAUCCUCCUCUGUAUUGACAUCGCUGUCCCCAACUUCAUCCCAUUCAUCCUUGGUAGUGGCACAGACUGCACUAUCCCCAGCUUUAUCCCAUUCAUCUGAUUCCACCGUUAUUCUGGAGUCCACAAGAAAAAGGAGGAACCCAACAGGGUUAAUGGACCAGAAUGAAGCAAAACAGAUGGUUGAGGGUGUUCUGAGGGCCAAUCCAAAGGGUGAAGAAGUCUUUAAUGAGUAUGAUAAGACUAAAACACUAACUGAUGCAACCCGUAAACAAAUGGUGAACAUCCUGGUUGCAGAUAUGAUAGAGCUACAUGGGAGGGUUCCACCGUCAAGUGUAAGGACCAAUUAUGCACUGGGAAUUGUGACUCUUUUUCCAUACCUCCGUGAUCCAUUCUCCAAACUUGGAUAUGAUGGGACAGUGAUAUGUCUUCAAUCCUUUUGCUGCUGCAUCUACUCCCUCCAACUUCAAGGGGCCAGAAAAAAACUGCCAAGAUCAGUUCAGCUCAAGCAACCAGCCAUCUUGUUAGAUAUCUUAAGGAAGGAGCCAGUAUUCCUACCUUCCUUGAGAGUGUCGACGCAAACAACCGUUCCUCCUUUGCAUCGGUGAGCAAAAGAAGAAUAUCCAAAGGUUCUACCUUAUUAUCGACCGAAAACCACUCCCGUGCAAGGCACACACAUCAGUGGCAGCUUUAGACAUUACAUUUGGCCGCCUGUUCAAAUGUUACAAGUACAAGGUGGGUCAGAUAUUACGGUACUGAGUACCAGGUUGGGUUGUACUUAUGCACUGGAUGUACCGAUGAUCUUCCUGUGUUCAAAAAGAUCUGUGAUAUUAUAAUACAUGAACAGCACGCUUUCAUAAUAUCCUGUAAUGUACAAACAAUGUACUAUGAUGACCACUUUAGUGCAUACUGUAUAGAAGACCAAAUGAAUGUGUUUUCUGUCAUAUCUGUGAAGGCACUGACUUAUUUUAGACCAUUUGACAAGCAAUGCUCUAAUGACAAUAGUCAAAGAGCGAACAUAGUGCCUUAUUGUUACAUUUAGAUAAAUGUACAGCAAUGAAAAAA